AUUGAACGCUGGCGGCAUGCUUUACACAUGCAAGUCGAACGGCAGCGCGGGCUUCGGCCUGUCGGCGAGUGGCGAACGGGUGAGUAAUUCAUCGGAACGUGCCCAGUAGUGGUGGAUAGCCCGGCGAAAGCCGGAUUAAUACCGCAUACGACCUGAGGGUGAAAGCGGGGGACCGAAAGGCCUCGCGCUCUUGGAGCGGCCGAUGUCGGAUUAGCUAGUUGGUGGGGUAAAGGCUUACCAAGGCGACGAUCCGUAGCUGGUCUGAGAGGACGACCAGCCACACUGGAACUGAGACACGGCCCAGACUCCUACGGGAGGCAGCAGUGGGGAAUAUUGGACAAUGGGGGCAAGCCUGAUCCAGCCAUGCCGCGUGCGGGAAGAAGGCCUUCGGGUUGUAAACCGCUUUUGUUCGGGAAGAAAUGCUCUGGGCUAAUACCCCGGGGGGAUGACGGUACCGGAAGAAUAAGCACCGGCUAACUACGUG
rnacentral:rRNA from 1 species